rnacentral:rRNA from 1 species
CUCAAAGAUUAAGCCAUGCAAGUGGUUAUAUUAACCCGACAGUUUAAAUAAGUGUUAAAUGCUACAUUAUUAAACUUACAUCAUAUCACGCAUACCACGAUUUUGUUUACCGUAGUAACAAUUUCAGCGUGACGCACAUAUAUCUUCGCGAUAUAGUGAAUCACUGAAAUUUACCCAUUCAGUAUCACUUACGCAACUGCAGACAGCUGCUUAAUACAGUCACACUUGUCUUGACUUGGCGUAAUAAUAUACAAUGAAAUUUUCAUUUCGAAAUAUAUACUCGCUCGCGGGUGUAUGUGACGGCCGAAUUUUUUAUUUUUAUUAUUUUUUUUUUUGUKGCCUUCACACGCACUACAAAAAUUUAUAUAUKGAUUUCUCUGUAUCGCUWAUUCUUAAGGACAAUGCGUUACACCGUGACAAUUUUCUUUAUGGAUAACUCAGGGAAAGUUKGGCUAAUACGUACGAGUACAUUUUACACCACACACACACACACAUACACAUACAAUAUAUUUUUGUAUCUACGCUGUGUAUCAACAAUACAUACAUCAUUACUCAGCACUCAAUGGUAAACUUUGGCUGCGUUCGCGUAGCCAGUUUAAAGUUUAACUGCAACAUGAGAGACAUUGAGCACGCACGUGUUGUAUCUUCGGGUACUUCACAUCACGCUGAGCAGACUUUGCGAAGUUUACUUUGCGAAGCAUGUCAUACAAGCAUCUACAGCAUCAAGUCACAGGGUUGGCAAGUGUAUUUUUGAACCUUCAAAGCAGUCACGCAUACGGAAGAGUAGUUUCUGAUCCCAUAGAAGGAGCACCGUACAAUGAGAGACCGCUCUUAGUUCUAAGGAACGCAGCAGGCGCGUAAAUUGCCCAAUGCUAGUACCCUACAAUACUAAUUGUAUUUUACAAUGCGUUAAACCAAUUUACAUACCAACAAGUUUAUACAUAAUACUACACAUAUAACACUUUUAUUUUUUCUGUUGAUGUUAAUUUACAUCAAUUAGAACAUACAUACAUAUCCUUGUUCGUUGUUUAUUUCAGCAUUAUAAUAUUAUUAUAUUAUUUUACUGAGGCAGUGACAAGCUGUAACGGUUGAGUAUAAAAAUGACGAGUGUCUGGCAUUGCCGCUCUCUCGGGAGCUUGGCAAGUUGCCGACGCUUUGUGUGCUCAAUUGGAAUGCGGUGAGUUUAAGCAACUCAGAACCUUUGGACGGUGUUAGUAAUAUUUCACUGUUCGUGUAUCUGAAUUUCAAGUGGAGGGCAAGUCUGGUGC